rnacentral:rRNA from 1 species
UACGAAGGGGGCUAGCGUUGUUCGGAAUUACUGGGCGUAAAGCGCGCGUAGGCGGAUAUUUAAGUCAGGGGUGAAAUCCCAGAGCUCAACUCUGGAACUGCCUUUGAUACUGGGUAUCUCGAGUAUGGAAGAGGUAAGUGGAAUUCCGAGUGUAGAGGUGAAAUUCGUAGAUAUUCGGAGGAACACCAGUGGCGAAGGCGGCUUACUGGUCCAUUACUGACGCUGAGGUGCGAAAGCGCGGGGAGCAAACAGG